UUAAAUGACUCCCGCACCUCUCUGAUUCAGAGGGGUUGGGUUAAAUGACUCCCGCACCUCUCUGAUUCAGAGGAGUUGGGUUAAAUGACUCCCGCACCUCUCUGAUUCAGAGGGGUUGGGUUAAAUGACUCCCGCACCUCUCUGAUUCAGAGGGGUUGGGUUAAAUGACUCCCGCACCGCUCUGAUUCAGAGGCGUUGGGUUAAAAGCGGAAGACACAUUUCGGUUGAGUGAAUUGUUGGGCAAAUGACUAGUUACCCCCUUUCCUUCCUGUUAGUAGAGGGGGGAAAACCUGAGUAUUACAAUCAAACCUGCUCUUGUCAUAAAUAAAAGUGCACAUUGUUUUGGUUGAAGAAACAAGAGGCCUAAUCCUGGAGUCAUAUUUCUGCAGUUUCUAACGUUCUGUCCAACACCGCUGAGCUACGAGUGCAUGUGGUUAAAACUGUCAGACGCAUGCAAACGCUCUGGGCCCAUAUUAACAAAGCGUGAGUAGGAGUGCUAGUCUAGGAUCCGGUCCCCCCUCUAAUUCAUAAUGGUUUAAAAGGUCUGGUCCCCCCUCCUAAUUCAUAAUGGUUUAAAAGGUCUGGUCCCCCUCUAAUUCAUAAUGGUUUAAAAGGUCUGGUCCCCCUCCUAAUUCAUAAUGGUUUAAAAGGUCUGGUCCCCCUCUAAUUCAUAAUGGUUUAAAAGGUCUGGUCCCCCUCCUAAUUCAUAAUGGUUUAAAAGGUCUGGUCCCCCCUCCUAAUUCAUAAUGGUUUAAAAGGUCUGGUCCCCCCUCUAAUUCAUAAUGGUUUAAAAGGUCUGGUCCCCCCUCUAAUUCAUAAUGGUUUAAAAGGUCUGGUCCCCCCUCUAAUUCAUAAUGGUUUAAAAGGUCUGGUCCCCCCUCUAAUUCAUAAUGGUUUAAAAGGUCUGGUCCCCCUCCUAAUUCAUAAUGGUUUAAAAGGUCUGGUCCCCCCUCCUAAUUCAUAAUGGUUUAAAAGGUCUGGUCCCCCCUCCUAAUUCAUAAUGGUUUAAAAGGUCUGGUCCCCCCUCCUAAUUCAUAAUGGUUUAAAAGGUCUGGUCCCCCCUCCUAAUUCAUAAUGGUUUAAAAGGUCUGGUCCCCCCUCCUAAUUCAUAAUGGUUUAAAAGGUCUGGUCCCCCCUCCUAAUUCAUAAUGGUUUAAAAGGUCUGGUCCCCCCUCCUAAUUCAUAAUGGUUUAAAAGGUCUGGUCCCCCCCUCCUAAUUCAUAAUGGUUUAAAAGGUCUGGUCCCCCUCCUAAUUCAUAAUGGUUUAAAAGGUCUGGUCCCCCCUCUAAUUCAUAAUGGUUUAAAAGGUCUGGUCCCCCCUCUAAUUCAUAAUGGUUUAAAAGGUCUGGUCCCCCCUCUAAUUCAUAAUGGUUUAAAAGGUCUGGUCCCCCCUCCUAAUUCAUAAUGGUUUAAAAGGUCUGGUCCCCCCUCCUAAUUCAUAAUGGUUUAAAAGGUCUGGUCCCCCCUCCUAAUUCAUAAUGGUUUUAAAGGUCUGGUCCCCCCUCCUAAUUCAUAAUGGUUUUAAAGGUCUGGUCCCCCCUCCUAAUUCAUAAUGGUUUAAAAGGUCUGGUCCCCCCUCUAAUUCAUAAUGGUUUAAAAGGUCUGGUCCCCCUCCUAAUUCAUAAUGGUUUAAAAGGUCUGGUCCCCCCUCCUAAUUCAUAAUGGUUUAAAAGGUCUGGUCCCCCCUCCUAAUUCAUAAUGGUUUAAAAGGUCUGGUCCCCCCCCUCUAAUUCAUAAUGGUUUAAAAGGUCUGGUCCCCCCUCUAAUUCAUAAUGGUUUAAAAGGUCUGGUCCCCCCUCUAAUUCAUAAUGGUUUAAAAGGUCUGGUCCCCCCUCUAAUUCAUAAUGGUUUAAAAGGUCUGGUCCCCCCUCUAAUUCAUAAUGGUUUAAAAGGUCUGGUCCCCCCUCCUAAUUCAUAAUGGUUUAAAAGGUCUGGUCCCCCCUCUAAUUCAUAAUGGUUUAAAAGGUCUGGUCCCCCCUCUAAUUCAUAAUGGUUUAAAAGGUCUGGUCCCCCCUCCUAAUUCAUAAUGGUUUAAAAGGUCUGGUCCCCCCUCCUAAUUCAUAAUGGUUUUAAAGGUCUGGUCCCCCCUCCUAAUUCAUAAUGGUUUAAAAGGCUAAACUGAUCUCAGAUCAGUACUCUGACACUGUGGAUAAGGGCCCUGUGCUCCUUUCAGCUCCUGCGUGUCCAGUUUGUCAUUAGGCCAAUAUUUAAUACCGAUAUACUACCAUGGUGUAGCUAUGACGACUUCACUAUGCAAAGCAAUGAGUUUAUUACUUUUGUUUUUGUUACUGCUGGUCACUCUUCCUCAACUGCUCCCUCCAAAAAAUGUCUUGCUCUCUCCAUCACAGAAGAAUAAGCUUCUCAACAUAUCAAUGUAUGGCUGCUAAACUCAACUGCUCACAUAAUUGAUUUGUGAAACUGGAAACAACCUGUAGAACUUACUCUGGCUGUCAUAACGUGAAGACAUCCUGUACUAGUCUGUGCUCUGUUUGAAAUAGAACCGCUUUAAAACGACUGCAGUGUAAAUGCCUAUAAUACAUUAGGUCUACCUGAACACAUUUUAAACGUUCUGCAAAAGUCUAAUGAAAUAAAUGAAUGGAAAUCUG